GAAAAUACCCAUGUUGUUUGGACAGUGACGUACUUUCUACCACUGGGUGCCAGCAACAAGCCGUGAACAGGGAGACUAAGUUACAUGAACCUGCACUGAGGGACCAAAGUGACUCAUCUUGACACAGGAAGUUCACGGUGCAGGGGUGUGAUGCUGUUGAUGCUGGUGUCCCUGCUCUGCUGGGUCCCUGCACCCAAGGCUUGUCUGCAGUGUGAUCACAAAAUCAGGCUCCUACAUGAGGACUUUAUCCUGUCUGCUCCCAGCAUUGUUGACCAGAUAGAAGUGAAAAGGAUUCGCGACUCUGCGUAUGAGACCUACAAAGAGACCAGUCGGGAACGAAAGGGGGUCAUUGAUCCUAGUACUUUGUACCGAGCCAGAACUGAGUACCAGAGUGAAUUUGAUCGCUUCUUGAAAAUUAAGCAC
rnacentral:lncRNA from 1 species